rnacentral:rRNA from 1 species
UACGUAGGGUGCGAGCGUUAAUCGGAAUUACUGGGCGUAAAGCGUGCGCAGGCGGUUCGUUAAGUCAGAUGUGAAAGCCCCGGGCUCAACCUGGGAACUGCAUUUGAAACUGGCGGGCUUGAGUAUGGCAGAGGGGGGUGGAAUUCCGCGUGUAGCAGUGAAAUGCGUAGAGAUGUGGAGGAACACCGAUGGCGAAGGCAGCCCCCUGGGUUAACACUGACGCUCAGGCACGAAAGCGUGGGGAGCAAACAGG